rnacentral:rRNA from 1 species
UAACACGUAAGGGGCGAGCGUUGUUCGGAAUUAUUGGGCGUAAAGGGCGUGCAGGCGGUCAUGUAAGUCUGUUGUGAAAUCCCGGGGCUUAACUCCGGAGGCGCGAUGGAAACUGUGUGACUAGAAUCUUGGAGGGGGAGUUGGAAUUCCUAGUGUAGGGGUGAAAUCUGUUGAUAUUAGGAAGAACACCGGUGGCGAAGGCGAACUCCUGGCCGAAGAUUGACGCUGAGGCGCGAAAGCGUAGGUAGCAAACAGGAUUAGAUACCCUGGUAGUCUACGCUGUAAACGAUGUACACUUGGUGUUGGCCUGUUUAGGGUCAGUGCCGAAGCUAACGCGAUAAGUGUACCGCCUGGGGAGUAUGCCCGCAAGGGUGAAACUCAAAUGAAUUGACGG